CUCAGCUCAAACAGUGAGCUAUUGAUAAACUAUUUAGUUCAAGUUCUUCUCAGUAUUCUUUUGAUUCGUCAUAUCUAUCCUGCGAUCCCUUUUUCUUCAUUUCUUAUUUAGUAGCUUUCUUUUUUUACUCAAUCAAUCUAUCGAGAUAUAUAUGUCAAAUAAAACAACUGGUCUAGUAAAGUGGUUCAACGAAUCAAAAGGUUUCGGUUUUAUCACUCCAGAUAACGGCACUGCAGAUGUAUUUGUUCAUUUUCGUUCAAUCGAGAGUGAUGGCUUCAAAACAUUAAAUGAAGGCCAAAAAGUUGCAUUUAACAUCGAGCAAGGUGGCAAAGGCCCACAAGCUGCGAACGUUACAACGCUAUAAGCGCUUUUGGUGAGACCUUGCUUACUUUCCAGUGAGGUAAGGUCUCUCUUU
rnacentral:sRNA from 1 species